AUUGAACGCUGGCGGCAGGCCUAACACAUGCAAGUCGAGCGAGCGGCGGACGGGAGAGUAAUGUAUGGGGACUGCCCGAUAGAGGGGGAUAACUACUGGAAACGGCAGCUAAUACCGCAUACUAUCGGAUAACCCAUAUGGGAUUAGCUAGUAGGUGGGGUAAUUGCUCACCUAGGCGACGAUCCCUAGCUGGUCUGAGAGGAUGAUCAGUCACACUGGGACUGAGACACGGACCAGACGCCUACGGAGGCAGCAGUGGGGAAUAUUGCACAAUGGGCGCAAGCCUGAUGCAGCAAUGCCGCGUGUGUGAAGAAGGCCUUGGGGUUGUAAAAUACUUUCAGUCGGGAGGCGUUACCGACAGAAGAAGCACCGGCUAACUCCGUGCCAGCAGCCGCGGUAAUUC
rnacentral:rRNA from 1 species